UUGUGUUGAAUUGAUUUUUAAAUUGUGGAUACGUUUUCAGGUACCUGCGAUGCUUUCAAAGCACGUUCGGUAAUAUUACGUAUCAUUCCAUUUGCGCAUUGUAUGGUUCGUUAAUUUGCGCAGUUUAUGCCACAUUGACCAAUGGUUGGAUAUCUGGUUAUGGAUUUUGUCUCUUUUGCUUUAUUCAACUGUACGUCCAAUGUAUUUUGGGAACAUUUGUGCAUAUUCAAAACGACAGAAUGAGUCAAGCGUUUUAUUUGACACCGUGGCAUGAGUAUCCCAUCAGGGUGCAAAAAAUCUUUUUGUUACUAAUACAUGCAUCGACGUUCAACGCAGUCAAAUUGCGAAUCGGACCAUAUGCACUUCUUGACGUGCAAACUGGAUUAAUGGUAA